AUAUAGGAAUACAGUACACAUUUUGAUCUUUUUUCUCAUUAUGUAUUAGUUUUAUUCUAAUUAUACAAUAAUGUGUGAAUUUCUUAAAAAAUGCGAUACACAGAAUAAGAAAGGUUCAAUGGAUAUUUACAAUGUUAACGUUAUACAACAUGUUAUAUAUAUAUUUCAGUCCACUUAUGUUUCUUUCUUUAAUUUAGGUAUGGUUUUUAUAUACAAUGUCUAAAAAAGAUUUUGUAAUUUAUAUAAUUCGUAUUAAGAAUUCAAUAGAAUUGUGCAUCGGCCAAUUUUUGCGUUAACAUAACCCUGUUAAUUUAGUGACAAAAAAGAAACAACUGAUAAAACAAAUUGAUAACAGCGAAGAUCCAGCUCCUCCUGAAACAAUUAACUGCUAUAGACAAUAUAAGCGGCAGCAAUGUAGCUCUGUUGACAUGAAAAAGAAGAAAUUAACAAUGAAUAAAGCUAAAAUACUGAAAGAAGACACAACUCGUCAGGAUACUAGGAACAAAGCAUAGAGUCUUAACAAGUGUGGAAGAAAGCUAAUCAUAUUAACUUUAUAAAAAGUUAUUUCAGCAGAUUGAAGGUAUAUCUGAAACGUAGAAGCCGAACGCGCCCUUCGGAAUAUCCUUCUCUGUGGCCGCAUAGGGUGCACGAAACGAUACAAUCUCAGCACGGGGCGAAAUCCACGAUCCCAAAUCACGUUUGCAACUAAUUUCAACUGGAAUCUUCUGCAUACAGCUUAUUUUUAUGGUCGUGGUGCGCUAACCUGCGUCCCGUCUUCAUUCUCACCCUCAAGCUCGAGCUUUUGCCGCUUUGCACGCUCGUUUUCGUUAUCCUCGCCGUUUUCGCGCGGUCUUGACACAGAUAGGCUAAAGCAUUUCAAACAAAAGUGUGAAACUGUAAAUUAAUGCGAUCACAUGUAACACGUUCUCGACGACACUAUAUUUCGUUGUAUACAUAUACAGCGUGUCCCGGGAUUUUCCGGACUAAUUGAGACAAAUUGAUCCAGAGGGCAAAAGAAGAAACAAAUGUUACAUGAAGUUCACGAACGAAUGCUUUUUUACGUAAGCGAAUAAUGUUUAAAUUCUCAUA